UUUGGUGACUCCUCUUAUG
rnacentral:piRNA from 1 species